rnacentral:tRNA from 1 species
CGAUAGCUCAGGGGAUAGAGCAGCAGUUUCCUAAACUGUUGGUCGCAGGUUCAAAUCCUGUUCG